AUUGAACGCUGGCGGCAUGCUUUACACAUGCAAGUCGAACGGCAGCGCGGGCUUCGGCCUGGCGGCGAGUGGCGAACGGGUGAGUAAUACAUCGGAACGUGCCCAGUAGUGGGGGAUAGCUCGGCGAAAGCCGGAUUAAUACCGCAUACGACCUGAGGGUGAAAGCGGGGGAUCUUCGGACCUCGCGCUAUUGGAGCGGCCGAUGGCAGAUUAGCUAGUUGGUGGGGUAAAGGCCUACCAAGGCGACGAUCUGUAGCUGGUCUGAGAGGACGACCAGCCACACUGGGACUGAGACACGGCCCAGACUCCUACGGGAGGCAGCAGUGGGGAAUUUUGGACAAUGGGCGAAAGCCUGAUCCAGCAAUGCCGCGUGUGUGAUGAAGGCCUUCGGGUUGUAAAGCACUUUUGGCGGGAAUGAAAAGGACUGUGCCAAUACCACGGUUCGAUGACGGUACCCGCAGAAUAAGCACCGGCUAACUACGUG
rnacentral:rRNA from 1 species